GGGAUGCAGAUCUGAGCAUGAGAUGCAAACGAGGACCCAGAGUGCCUGGAUUUGCAAACGAGGACCCAGAGUGCCUCGAUUUGCAAACGAGGACCCGGAGUCCCUCGAUUUGCAAACGAGGACCCAGAGUCCCUCGAUUUGCAAACGAGGACCCAGAGUCCCUCGAUUUGCAAACGAGGACCCAGAGUCCCUCGAUUUGCAAAUCCAGACCUAUUUUGGCUGGGCCUCUCGAUUUGCAAAUCCAGACCUAUUUGGGCUGGGCAGACAUUAUUCACCACAACAGGUCCAUGGAGACCUAGCCUCUCCUCCCUUUAAACAGCCUCUCUUCCCUUUAUGAUUCUCUCGUAACCUAGCUCUUCACCAAAGCCUCUCUUCACCAAAGCACCAAAGCCUCUCUUCACCAAAGUAAGUGCUUUCUUUUACUUUUUUGUUUGAAUCGAAUUUUUGUUGGAAUCUCGGUUUGGUUCCAAUAUUUCAAACCCUGGAUCUGGAUUUGUUUCCAUUUACUUUUUUAACUUGGUUCGAAUAUUUCAAACCCUGAUUUGUUUUACUUGUGUUUGAUUCAUCNNN
rnacentral:lncRNA from 1 species